UUAAGCGACUAAGCGUACACGGUGGAUGCCCUGGCAGUCAGAGGCGAUGAAGGACGUGCUAAUCUGCGAAAAGCGUCGGUAAGGUGAUAUGAACCGUUAUAGCCGGCGAUGUCCGAAUGGGGAAACCCAGUGCAAUUCGUUGCACUAUCGUUAACUGAAUACAUAGGUUAACGAGGCGAACCGGGGGAACUGAAACAUCUAAGUACCCCGAGGAAAAGAAAUCAACCGAGAUUCCCCCAGUAGCGGCGAGCGAACGGGGAGCAGCCCAGAGUCUGAAUCAGCUUGUGUGUUAGUGGAACGGUCUGGAAAGUCCGACGGUACAGGGUGAUAGUCCCGUACACCAAAAUGCACAGGUUGUGAACUCGAAGAGUAGGGCGGGACACGUGGUAUCCUGUCUGAAUAUGGGGGGACCAUCCUCCAAGGCUAAAUACUCCUGACUGACCGAUAGUGAACCAGUACCGUGAGGGAAAGGCGAAAAGAACCCCGGCGAGGGGAGUGAAAAAGAACCUGAAACCGUGUACGUACAAGCAGUGGGAGCACCUUCGGGUGUGACUGCGUACCUUUUGUAUAAUGGGUCAGCGACUUAUAUUCUGUAGCAAGGUUAACCGUAUAGGGGAGCCGCAGGGAAACCGAGUCUUAACUGGGCGUUAAGUUGCAGGGUAUAGACCCGAAACCCGGUGAUCUAGCCAUGGGCAGGUUGAAGGUUGGGUAACACUAACUGGAGGACCGAACCGACUAAUGUUGAAAAAUUAGCGGAUGACUUGUGGCUGGGGGUGAAAGGCCAAUCAAACCGGGAGAUAGCUGGUUCUCCCCGAAAGCUAUUUAGGUAGCGCCUCGUGAACUCAUCUUCGGGGGUAGAGCACUGUUUCGGCUAGGGGGUCAUCCCGACUUACCAACCCGAUGCAAACUACGAAUACCGAAGAAUGUUAUCACGGGAGACACACGGCGGGUGCUAACGUCCGUCGUGAAGAGGGAAACAACCCAGACCGCCAGCUAAGGUCCCAAAGUCAUGGUUAAGUGGGAAACGAUGUGGGAAGGCACAGACAGCCAGGAUGUUGGCUUAGAAGCAGCCAUCAUUUAAAGAAAGCGUAAUAGCUCACUGGUCGAGUCGGCCUGCGCGGAAGAUGUAACGGGGCUAAACCAUGCACCGAAGCUGCGGCAGCGACGCUUAUGCGUUGUUGGGUAGGGGAGCGUUCUGUAAGCCUGCGAAGGUGGCCUGUGAGGGCUGCUGGAGGUAUCAGAAGUGCGAAUGCUGACAUAAGUAACGAUAAAGCGGGUGAAAAGCCCGCUCGCCGGAAGACCAAGGGUUCCUGUCCAACGUUAAUCGGGGCAGGGUGAGUCGACCCCUAAGGCGAGGCCGAAAGGCGUAGUCGAUGGGAAACAGGUUAAUAUUCCUGUACUUGGUGUUACUGCGAAGGGGGGACGGAGAAGGCUAUGUUAGCCGGGCGACGGUUGUCCCGGUUUAAGCAUGUAGGCGGAGGUUCCAGGUAAAUCCGGUACCUUUUAACGCUGAGGUGUGAUGACGAGGCACUACGGUGCUGAAGUAACAAAUGCCCUGCUUCCAGGAAAAGCCUCUAAGCAUCAGGUAACAUCAAAUCGUACCCCAAACCGACACAGGUGGUCAGGUAGAGAAUACCAAGGCGCUUGAGAGAACUCGGGUGAAGGAACUAGGCAAAAUGGUGCCGUAACUUCGGGAGAAGGCACGCUGGUGUGUAGGUGAAGUCCCUGCGGAUGGAGCUGAGACCAGUCGAAGAUACCAGCUGGCUGCAACUGUUUAUUAAAAACACAGCACUGUGCAAACACGAAAGUGGACGUAUACGGUGUGACGCCUGCCCGGUGCCGGAAGGUUAAUUGAUGGGGUUAUCCGUAAGGAGAAGCUCUUGAUCGAAGCCCCGGUAAACGGCGGCCGUAACUAUAACGGUCCUAAGGUAGCGAAAUUCCUUGUCGGGUAAGUUCCGACCUGCACGAAUGGCGUAAUGAUGGCCAGGCUGUCUCCACCCGAGACUCAGUGAAAUUGAACUCGCUGUGAAGAUGCAGUGUACCCGCGGCAAGACGGAAAGACCCCGUGAACCUUUACUAUAGCUUGACACUGAACAUUGAGCCUUGAUGUGUAGGAUAGGUGGGAGGCUUUGAAGCGUGGACGCCAGUCUGCGUGGAGCCAACCUUGAAAUACCACCCUUUAAUGUUUGAUGUUCUAACGUUGGCCCCUUAUCGGGGUUGCGGACAGUGUCUGGUGGGUAGUUUGACUGGGGCGGUCUCCUCCCAAAGAGUAACGGAGGAGCACGAAGGUUAGCUAAUCCUGGUCGGACAUCAGGAGGUUAGUGCAAUGGCAUAAGCUAGCUUGACUGCGAGCGUGACGGCGCGAGCAGGUGCGAAAGCAGGUCAUAGUGAUCCGGUGGUUCUGAAUGGAAGGGCCAUCGCUCAACGGAUAAAAGGUACUCCGGGGAUAACAGGCUGAUACCGCCCAAGAGUUCAUAUCGACGGCGGUGUUUGGCACCUCGAUGUCGGCUCAUCACAUCCUGGGGCUGAAGUAGGUCCCAAGGGUAUGGCUGUUCGCCAUUUAAAGUGGUACGCGAGCUGGGUUUAGAACGUCGUGAGACAGUUCGGUCCCUAUCUGCCGUGGGCGCUGGAGAAUUGAGGGGGGCUGCUCCUAGUACGAGAGGACCGGAGUGGACGCAUCACUGGUGUUCGGGUUGUCAUGCCAAUGGCACUGCCCGGUAGCUAAAUGCGGAAGAGAUAAGUGCUGAAAGCAUCUAAGCACGAAACUUGCCCCGAGAUGAGUUCUCCCUGAGACUUUAAGUCUCCUGAAGGAACGUUGAAGACGACGACGUUGAUAGGCCGGGUGUGUAAGCGCAGCGAUGCGUUGAGCUAACCGGUACUAAUGAACCGUGAGGCUUAACCUU
rnacentral:rRNA from 1 species